GCUCAGUCAAUAUUUUUUUCCUUCUCAGUGUUGCCUUUCUGAUUACUGCAGGCAAGACUGACACCUGCAGGAUAUAUCUACUUUGGUUAAAAGAAAAUCCAAACCAUCAGCCCAUAAAAAGAACAUUACUCAAACUUACAGCUCUAAAUAACCAACGCUGAAAAUGGAAAGGUUCAUGUUUACCCACCUUAACGUACGCUGUGAGUCCAGUGCAGAAUGGAUCGUUCGGCUGCACAGAGUGGUUUGUGGCACCAAUCCCAGGGAACAUUACUGUGCCAGUUAGUGACACUUCCAAUGACUUUGGGAAUUUCUGACCUUAACACAGAAUAAAACAAAGUCCAAACAACUAAUUGCAUUCAAUAAAUCUUUCUAUAUUUAGUAUAUUUUUAUUGCGGCAUGUAUUCUUAAAGAUUCACCACGAGUGCCGAUUCUUAUAAUUUCUAUUUGAAUGUGAUCUAAUUGGUUUGAAAAAUAUAAUAUGAAGUGUCAAUUCUGGGCAACAACUCUAAUAGCCUUAGAAGCCUCAGUUUUCCAUAAGAUUUGUUUGUCUACAAGAUCGAAAUUAACAAUGAGUAAUAUAAUUUUUUAUCUGGAACCGUUAAAACUAUAAUGCAGUAACACUAUUCUGCACUCUGGCAUUUUUCUCUUUGUUCUUCCUAUUGUACUUGUGUAUGGCUUGAUUGUAUUCAUGGAUUAAUUACCUGAUUUAAUUUGAUAGCACUUAAACAAAAGCUUUUCACUGUAUAUCGGUACACAUGACAAUAAUAAACCAAUAGAAAAUACCAACAAAUUAACAAAAACUAAAAAUGGUUGAAAGCAGGACAAGCAAUAUCUGUGGACAUAGAAACACUCAAAAAUAAAAUUGAGCCAACACAUUAGAUCUGUUUCUCUUUCUACCGGUGCUGAAUUUGUACUACCUGCUGAAUGUUUCCAGCAUUCCCGCUUUGUGUUCCAGAUUUUUGGCAUCUGCGUUUUUUGUAAUUUUCAUACACAAUUAGAUCAUGAUUUUGGUUAGCCUCGUAACCUGUAUUGAUCAUUAUCCAAUAACUCAUGGAAUUGUACAUCUCUGGUCAGUUGAAUAAUCAAAUACAAAAAGGUUUAUCAAAUUGA